AAAAACUUUAACCCACUUGCACCACAGGUCUGAAGCGCUACUAACCUUAUUUAUUUGAAAUAUUCAAUUGACAGUCGGCUCUUAUCGUCGCAAGCGCAAUAUUCCGUGGCUGCCAAAAUUUGUGAUAUAUUUUCACAAUCAAAGAACAUACCGAACAUUUCUGCUUUUAUCAUAUUUGGAAUCCUUGGAUAGUGCCGUAUUGCUUUAAAUGAUAGCAUAUUUGCAAAACAAUUGGUUCUUUCUAUCAAAGUAAAUUCAGAUGAUUCCACGCAAAAAGACGACCCACCUUGCUCCAUAUUUACCUGACAAAGAAGCGUAAAAUACGAGCCAGCCGUAUUGAAUGUCUAAAACAGAGUCAAAUGCAUUCUUGAAUUAUGUGAAAGUAAUAAAUCACGUGGGCCAUUGAAAUAGCGGCAGUAGGUAUUCCGGUAAUUAGAAAAGACGGCGCGACUGUAUAGCAAAUAUUGUGAGACCAUAAAUAAUUGCUCAUGCAAAAACACGGAAGCCUGUACAACGGAACGUCAUGAAAUACCAAGUUAGCCACAGCACUGCUUUCUUCAAUGAGAAUAUCGCCUGGCCAGCACCAUACAAUUAAUUGCACCAUAAUGGAUAUCAGAUUUCCAGACCAUUCAUUAUGAAUUGGAUAAAAGUAAUGGGACUUAACAGAUCCUCUAACUCAUCAGCAACUCUGGAACGAAGUAAUGAUCACAAUUAAAAGUUAUAAUUGCUGUUGAUUUCAGCGCCAAUUUUUCGGAGCCACGCUUGAAUUAAUUGAAAUUGUCCGCAAACGUACACAAAGACAGUCAAGAAUGUCCCAUCAAGACCAGUAACACCGCAGGAACAAAUCAUAUACGAGAUAGUUUUAAAUACGAAUACAAUUUCAAAAUUUGGCGCGGUUACUGUGUCAAAACCGUAACCUAAUAAAAAUAUAAAAACCACAUUGAAUCAGAUAUCGUUUUAUUGGAGAUUCGAUGAAGCAUAUUUACCUGUGAGUAUGAUUUCACAGUGACAUUCGUUACGGUGUACUUGGAUGUGUAACGCUGGCGACGAGUUUCCUUUCUAAUAAUAAUACGAUUGAAAGGGAUGACAAAAUGGAAAGGAAGAAGACGUAAUGACGUGACAAUCGUACAACUCUAGUUUUCCUCUACCUGCAUGUCAGUGUUAAUGCAAUAUUCAAAGAUUCCACUGUAACAUAAUCACGAUAUCUUUCCUGCUUGGGAUAUGAGAGAUAGAAAGUUUCUUCUGACUUACAAAUUACUGUGAUUAAUUGUAAUUGCUCAUUUUUUAAAUCAAAACGUCUUUUACACUUCUUUACUUGAUUUUAGGUUAUUAAUGUAGCUGGUUAGUAAUUUUUUUUUUGCUUAUCUAUUUUGAAUUGAUGACGUUAUAUGUGCGAUUAUAUACAGUCGAUGGCGAUGACAUAGCUGUACUGCUUAUUCCAAUAUAAUUGUUAAAAUCUAUAAAAGCUGAAAAGAAAUGACAAUAAUUGAAUUCAA